GGUCUCGCUUCAAACAUGCGGCUGCUGGAAGAGAGUUGGUGAGUUGUGUUUAGUUAAGUUAAAAAGAUGUUUGGUGGCUAGUGCUAUGGCUGGAACCCUAUAUGUACUGUUGAUGAAGUUAGGUGCUGUUCUGAGCAUUAUUUGUGGCUAUAGAGUGGUGUUUUGGUUGAACACGUAGCUGUAGCUGUCUUGCUAUCAUGUGGUCGUUACUAAAGUUGGUAUAACUAGAGAAGCAAACAGUCGGCAACAUUCAUCUCUCGACUGGGUGUCUAACUUAGUGUUAUUGUGUUUGACCAUAACUUAAUUUUACCCCGGAAUAUCCCUUUAAGGUUUCUCUCUGCACUCGCUUUAUCAUGAAGAAAAGUUAGCCCUGAUUAAAAUGAGGAACAGCCGUAUCGCAGAGAAAAACAUGAAGAACGCCGAAUUACUGCGAGGCACAAAACAUGUAAUUACAGCAUCAUUUGGACUGAGUCCACGCAUGAAUCCUUGUAUUAGUCACCCACAAUGUCCCAAUGAUACACCCUUUGUGAUUAAGGUCAAUGUCAGCACUAAAGGUCAACUUAAUUAGCCUUUACUUGUGGUCUGAUUUCUAUCAGUCCUUAACCCUCUAACUCCCCUCUUGACCCCGGGUCCUUUCUUUUUUAACGCACCCUCAGUUUUUGCUGUGUGUAUGUUUGUUCUUGUGCCUCUUUUUGUGUGUGUGUGUGUGCUAAGGAGCUGUCUGCAACCCCAGACACUGAAGUGGUUUCAUUAGGACUGCUGGUUCCCAGGAGGGGGGCAUGUGAAUAAUUACCAAUUAGACUGUUGUCAAGAGCCAGUGGUGGUGUUACGCUGUUUCAGCUAGGUUAGGGUGGGUGUGUGUGCGAGCCUACAUUCUUGUUUGACACAAGUACGAGUGUAUAUCUGUGAGUGUGUGUUUGAGGUUUUGUGAUUGCACUCCCCGGGCACUGGAGCGUGCGGUCGUGGCUGUUAAAUUCAGAGCGUUGUUUAAUCUAAUGCUUCAGUCACUUGCUGGGGUACUUGUCAGCUUUGUCAGCUAAUUAUAAAGUAGCCACAUGGAUUACACACUCUUCCCCUCUCGUUCGGGUUUUUCCUGACGUUACAACCUUUGCUUUUCCCUCCUACCUUCUGUAUUUUACUAUAAUAGCUGACAUGGUUAGAAUAAAAGACUCACAGAGAUCUCAGCGAGAGUUUUCUGGAUUAGACACUACAUGAAGGCGCGCUUGUUUUCCUUUUGACUUAAAAGCCUGUUUGCUUGCAAUGAUUAUAAGUACCUGCUAAAUUAAAUAACAUAACCUUCUCAAUAAAGAAAUCAACUUGUUUGUGGUUUUAUUAAUUUUCUUCAAUUGUCAUAUCAGCGGUGUGGCAUUCACAAAGUAAAAAAUAUUAAAAAUUUGAGGUUCCAGCUUUCCCCCUUUUUUCAGAUCUCUUCUCGAUCUCUUUGCAGGGGCGUAUCCUGACUUUUUCAGCGGGGGUGGCCAAGCUCAUACCCUUUCUAUCAUCAGUAAUUUCCCCAACUCUUUCACUGUCUUUUACCUUUCAGUGUAUGCUCUAUAUUUUCUAACUUCAUUACGUUGCCACGUUCCUGUAAAGAAGUUAAAAACUGUACAGAAUAAAGCAGCAUCCUGCUCACUUCGUUGCCCUUACAGAACUAGUUAAAUAGAUGCACAACAGUUCAAAAUAAAAGCUGGAUUUACUGCUUUAUCGAUUAAUUUUGAUUAAUUAAUUUGAAUAACUAAAUACCAAAGGAUCUCAUUUAAGCAUUAAAGGUCCUUACACACACGAAUAUAUGAUGCAAAAUUACGAAAUUUUAAUUGGCAAAUUUUGACGCGCCUGACUGUACACAAGUGCGAAGCGAUUUUGCGACUUUCCGGGGGAAAAAAAGACGCAAGCACUAAAAUAACUUUUGUAGAUGUAGCCAUCUUGUUUCAGGCCUCCGAUUUCGCUUUUUUCUAACUCGGUAACUGAAACGCUGGGAACUUGCGUGUGAUGUCAUUUUCAGCUCAGACAUCUGACUUCCUCGGUAGCUUGAACGCAGCUUUACACCAGGCAUGCUACUCAAGGCACAUUUAACACUCUCUAUGGUGAAAACACACAUUAAAAAUUGCAGUCGUCAUGGUUACAUGUAACACUCUACCAGGGCAUGUCAUUCAAUCAAAUAGUUAAAAAUUUACUCAAAAUCUGAUUCACAAAAUAUCCCCUUGCCAAACAGCUCACUUCCUCAUCUGAAAUUUAAGAAAUGCUGUCACUUGUUUUACAAUUUGAAGUACUUUUGAACCUGAAACGUUGCUAAUGAAUAAAUUUUUGACACUUGCUUCUCUGAAAGAAAAGGGUUAAAAGUACUAUCAGUCUAUUGGUACUUGAUUUUAGCAAACAGCCAUACAUAAUUUCAGGGCUCGUGCCACCUUGUAUCACCCACCUGGACACGCCCCUGCCCUCCUGCUUCUUACUCUCUGUAUUUUGCUGCUUACUACAUUGUUUUGUCUCCUAGUUUAAUUUUAUAGUAAAUCACAUAAAAAUCACUGCUUAAAAGAUGCUAUAAAAAUAAUUCUCACUGUUAUUGAUGUGACUUUUUCUGGGGUUUUACAGCUGAAAUUGUCCUUUAAAGUGAAUUGGAUAACUAUAAUCAUAAAACCUAUUCUACAGCUCCUCUGUCUCAAUGACUGUAAGUGGUGGUUUAUUCUAUAUUCAUCGUGUGGAUGACUUUGAUAAAUGUUGAAUAAAAUCAACUCACCGCCAGAAAUGAAGGGAGAUGUUUGCGUUUUCCUUCUUUUUGCCUCUUCUCUCUCAUUCUCAUCUUGUUUAGUGGACUUUUGUCUUGAUCUUUUCCACCCCUUUUUCCAGCCUCUUAAGCUUUUUGAGCCACAAGCUUUGAGUUUCUGUUAAUCUCUUGUUUCUUACACCUUUUACUCAACUUUGGCCAAGAAAAGGGAUCAUUUUCAUAAAGGGAGAGGUUAUCAGAGACUUCCACUUCAGUCGUGACUUACAGUAAUUCUUUAUCACCGCAUGUAUUUCUUAUUUUCUCUCCUUCCACAAAAGUAAUUGCCUUGAGGUUGUACCACCUCCUGCAGUUACCUCCCACACCGGGAAAUAAAAAAUGAAGAUUGUGUAACCACAGAGAGAGACUCGUGUGCCAGAAAUGAAAUAUCACUAUCUCUCGCUGCCAUGUCUUUCUUUUCAACCUCCACAUUUCGAAGCUUGGUGUGUUUAUUAAACGGUUAUAUUAGAUAGGAUAAACAUGAACGCUUUAUUCCAUACAAAUCAGCUUAAAACCCAUUUGUCUUAUCAUGAUACAGUAAUAGAAAGCUUUUCCCUGAUUUUUUUCUGUAUAUUCAAAAUGUUGAGGAACACGAGGCCUAAAGGAAAACCACAGCAAACCUACACCAACAGAACACGCAGACUCCAGUGAGAGAAACCAGCAGCUGGGUUUCUGUGCGUGUGUCUCAACCGCUGAGCCAGUGUACCAUCUAACUCUUUGUUUGGCACAAUAGUCAUGUAAAGCCCGGGGCAACAAACAAGACCCUGCCUGAGGUUCAAAUGCACCCUGAGAGGAGGGCUGGAUGGUGUAUGAAUUGUUUGAUCACUGCAUUGCUUUUUUAGAUUGCAUUAUUCGUCUGUUUGCUGGUGAUUUUAACUCUUUGAGUGCAGAAAGUUACCUUUGCCGCACCUGUAACUUUGUACAAACAACAUGUGAAAGCAUCAUCUUAUUACAUAUUCCUUUACAUCCACACGAAACAAAGAUAAACCAACUGAUUUGGAGACUCUGCAGAGUUCUUGGAAAGAUUUGUGACACGCCACGCACAUGUGGUUUCCAUCUGUUGGCGUUUCUGCCUGAAAGCUCUUUAUUAGUGGGAUUCAAGAGUGACACUUCAACAAAAAUAUUGGGCCAAUUCUUCGAGCCAAGAUGGAGGAUUUGUUUAUGUCAUUUUGAGAAUACUCAAAACCAUCCUGGGGUUUUUGUACGCAACAUUACCUUCUUGAUUUGAUAAAACUUAUAGUAAUACUUAUAGUCGUUCUGUUUGCAUGUGUGCCGUGUAAGUCUAAACUGGUGCUUUGCCUAACUGGUUUUGCUCAUCAAUGUGUGAAAUUGUGUGUGAGAGAGAAAAUUACUUUUUUCAUGUAAGUGUUCGCAUGUUUUUUGAGCGUGGGGGUGGAAGGAAUAGUAAAAGAUUUCCCCUGUUGGUUAAACAUGUCAGCCCUGCCAGGAAAUGAACUCGUCUCUUAGCCUCACGCCACCGGCUGCUGCUGUUCCCUCUGCCUCUGUUGCGUCUUCCUCACGCAGCCCCUCUCUCUCUUCCUGCAACAGCCCCUGAACGUCCAUCAAACGCAGAGAGGAGAGAGGAAACUCACAUAUCAUCUAAGCCGCAACACACACAUCGCAUGAUACUCUGCUCACACAUUACAAUCCCUUUAUCCUUCAAAUUGAACAUGGAGAAACCACAAAGCUCUUUGUUGUGGAGAUGAAACGUGCUCCUUGAAUUCUCAUCAGGAGAUUUGCAAAGUGGUUCAGGGGAUUGCAGAUUAACAUUUUCCAGAUUACAGCGUUGCAUUGGGUUACUAUGACUUAAGAGCAAACUCUAUCAUGACUCGAGGAGGACCCAGUGACCCAAUCCCUCACUGAUCUCUAUAUGUCUUUCUCUUUUUCUUGUUUGUCUACCAUGUCUGUAUUUUCCUUCAAUAUUUGCUGCUAAUUUGAAGCAAGAAAAAAAAAAAUAACCCUGACUUCAGUGUAUCUGUCUAGCGAACAGUUGAUAACACUUCCAUGGCAACAGAUUCUUAUCGGCCUACACGCAGAAUGUAUUCAAAUCAAAUUAGCCAUUUCAAUCCACAGUCAAAUAUUUUGUUUUUCUAAAAUUCACAGUAAUCCGACACUAGAAUUAUGCAGUUUUAAGGUUUGAGCACAUUCUUACAGUUGUUGUGAGGAACUUUUGGUUUCGUGUUGAUUUCGGUGCCCCGUGUGAGGAACUAUGCCUAUCUCGUACACACUGAUAUAGGAAUUGGAAUCGAGAACUGGUUCUAAAUGGUUCCGUAAACAUCAUUUACAUUUUAUCUUCAUGAUUCCCUGAACAAUUCCUUUCUUCCAGGUGCCUUGAGAAACGGUCUCGCGAGUGCCAGUCUACAUGAACGGGAACAGAGACAGAGAAAAGAACAUGAUGAACAGUAGGAAAGUAGGCAGAAACGUCUGUAUGUAUGUUAGAGUGACCAUAAGUCCUCUUUUACCCAGACAUGUCUUCUUUUGGGGGGCUGUCCGGGGGGAGUUUAUAAAAUCCUUCAAAUGUCCGAAACGUGUAUGCAUCCAUUAUAAAACAGUGCAGAGCAUCAGUGCUCUCUGCAGCUCUGCCCUUCCGCUAACGUCGUUGCAAAGCCACUGACACAACGCAUACAUGCACUGUCUUUGGGAAUUCAGAGUAUGUGUUUAACUGAGUUAGAAGUGCAUAAAAAACACUCGACCUGACCCACAAAAAAAACACAAGUCUGCCCAGCGUAGCAGCGUCCUCUUUUUGGGGAUUCAGAAUAUGGUCACCCAAACGUAUGUCCUGUGUAUGAGCAGUGUUUGUGACAAAAAUUUUGACUUGGCUUUUAUGUUUGUUUAAAAAAACUGUGCUACCAUGGAUUUUUUUUUUAAAAAGAAAACAUGAAAUGAUCCCCAAAAAGUGAACCAACACUCGAUAGAUAGAAAUUUCUGUGUCACGGGCCUUAAAGACGUCUCUCCUUAGUGGAAAGGUAUACUUCUUGAGUGCUGAAGAAGUCUGAGAAGUUCUAACUAGAAGUGUUGCUCUAGUGUUCUCUUAACUACACUUCUGGUUGUGUGCAUCUCAGAGUUCUGUAUUUCUGUAUAAGUGUACAACCUCUUACCGCCAGAAACUUGAGAUACCUGAAUCUUUAAUUACUUUAAAUUUAGUCAGUAUUUUCAGGAAGCUUUCAAAAUGUAAUUAUUUGAUAUUUAUGCCAGUAUCUGUAUUUGGUUAUGUACAGCCCUUUAGUUCAGUAUCUCUUAUGUGCAUCUCUGUCUUUCUGAGUAGUAUGUUUUGCCCCUGUGUUAAGACUUCACCAGGCAAAAAAACUAAGUUGACUGAACUCAAUGACAUCCCAAAGUCUGCUUUUAUUUAACAAUUUCUCUUCUGGAUUUAGGGGCUGUCGCUAUCAAUUAACUCUCCAGCCGUCAGUCACAGCUGGAGAGGAGUAGAAGGUUGGUUGAGGGCAGGGUAGAGGACACAUAGAUCAUGUGGUCCAGAAUGAGGCACAAAAACAGAGGAGAGGAAGAGACUGAUAUUCGCACACUUGAGGCUGACUGCUACAGUGCUGUGGAUGGAUGGUGGUGGUGGUGGUGGUGGUAGUGGCAGAGGGAGGCAGGCUGUAUAAUUUGAUUUGGAUUUAGUGUUGCUUGGAAGAACGACACAAAUUCUACAGGGAUUAAUCCGGCUUUAAUUCAAUCUGGCCGCCUCAGCCUGAAAUAGCCCGGCUCGGGUCCUGCUGUUCCUCCAUGAAAGCACAGCUGCACCUGGCACGGGGUCCAAAGGGCGCGUGUGUGUAUAGGUGUGUGUGCAGCUGCAAGCAUGUGUGCCGGAGGAAUAACGUGAUCGUGCAAAGUAUGUUUAUUUUGUAUGGAUUUGUCUACAUUUGUUAGUCCUGUAUCUGUGUGCAGAGGAGUGUUAAUGUGUGUGUCGAGGCUAUCAGAACAGUGAGAAACAGACAGUCGAGCUGACUGUGUUUGCAUUAUGCAUACACACAGAAGAGCUCUUCUACUCAUACCACGACCAGGUUUUUUGUCCCAA